rnacentral:lncRNA from 1 species
GAAUAAUUUCUAAUCAUCAUGUUUAUGAAUAGUUGGUUGCUUGUACCUGUUGCUUAUUCUAAGUUGGUUCAUUGCCUUGUUUUGUACUUUUAUGAUAACCAACUCAUGCCUAGAAUGUGUUCUAAUUCAUGUUGAGAUAUUCAUGCCCAACUCUUUAUCUUUCUGGAGCUCUACUAUUAGCUAUGACUUUUUCUCAUGCCUUUGUAAUUGUAUCAUGUGCUUUUCUUGACCUGCUUAGCCCUGUGUUCCCCAGUAUUAGUUAAGACCUUUAGAGUAAAUCUCGUUACCAAUAUUUUUACCUAUAUGUGGCCACCUAGUACGUGGUUCGAUGCUUGUUUGUCCUAUUGAUUUGAAAACUGACAUGUCUUCUAUUUACUAUAAGUUUUUGCUGAUACUCAGCAUGUUCAAGUUUUCUCAUGCUCAACUAAGUAAUUGCUUGAUCAUGAACCUGUUAUGUUAUAUUGUUUUCACUAGACCUUCAUGUUAAAACUUAUGCGUGAAGGCUAUGCUCUACUUGAUCGUGUCUAUGACUCUAUUAGAUUUUCAUGUUUAAAUCUUGUGGCUAAAGCUCUUUUAGGCUAAUUCUGAAUCAGCUUGCUCUUGAAAGUCUUUUGUAAUAGUUCACUAUCUUAUGAGGGUCAAUCCUGUCACUUUAGGUUUAUUUCUAACAAUACAAG